UACGUAGGUGGCAAGCGUUGUCCGGAUUUAUUGGGUUUAAAGGGUGCGUAGGCGGUUCUAUAAGUCAGUGGUGAAAUCCGGCAGCUCAACUGUCGAUGUGCCAUUGAUACUGCAGAACUUGAGUACAGACGAGGUAGGCGGAAUUGACGGUGUAGCGGUGAAAUGCGCAGAUAUCAGGAGGAACACCGGUGGCGAAGGCGGGUCUCUGGGCAGUAACUGACGCUGAGGCACGAAAGCGUGGGUAGCAAACAGG
rnacentral:rRNA from 1 species